AAAGUUCUUUUGCCAAGAUGAGGUUUUGAG
rnacentral:piRNA from 1 species